CUUUUUCCACGUUUAAUGUGACCUAUAACCUGUACAACUAAAUUGAAAAACAAAGAAAUCCUUAAAAAAAAAAAAAAUUAUUUUAUUAAAAAAAAAAAAUUGUGAUUGCAUUAGCGUGUACAAGUGUGUACAUUAGCGUGCAUUAGCGUGUACAAGCAACAUACGGACAUCGGAGCAACAUAUGGACAUCGGCGCAACUGGUGUUUGUGUGUACCACCACCAAACACUCAAAUAAAUCAGAAACAACCCCAAUAACACAAUAAAUGAUGAUCUGCGGCAAAAGCUACGCGACCUCGGAACAAAUUGGACUACAUCCGACUCCAACAAGCUACUCGGCGUGAAUACAGACACUGCUGCAUCUCUGUGUUCACUAUAUUGUUGUGAGAUGUAGACCUUUUUAUUUACCCCAGGAAUUCACCACCGCUAUUGUGCUUGGAGUGUACAUACCACCUAGUGAUAAUGCUAAGGAAUCGCUCAGCAUACUCUACGGAACCAUUAGCGAACUACAAAACACACCCUGACGGUUAGGUUGUCGUCACCGGAGAUUUAAACCAUGUGUAGCCAGGCAACUGCCUACCAGUGGGGGUGUGGUUGGCUAAUAAUCCCAGGACUUUUUAAGCAGGCACUGAGCAAGAGGCCUCGAAAUGUGGGCCCUGUUUUGGAAGCACAUAGGAUAUGGUCGCCCUAGAGGAGGUAGGCCAAGUUUGUUAUUUUAGUUUGUUUAUUUAGAGGGAUUUAUUUUGAUUUUAUGGGAAAAUUGUUUUUGUUUAUUUAGAUGCAGAUAGAUUGAGUAAUGCUGACUGUGUAUGUUGACAGUUGCUGGUGUAGACCUGGAUAAUUGCUGGAACAUCAACUGAUUGUUAUAUCUGCUAUCUGCCAAGGAAGAUUUGUCAAUUGCUGUUUCUCCCGUGUUGUUUUUGUUUGGUUCCCUGGUUGGCCGGUCUCAGGAGUGUGCUGCAUGGUGGCAGCACGUGUAUCGUGUGAAUUGUUUGUGUACGAGUCCGGUUGGCCAGGGCUUUGUUUUUUUGUAUUCUUUCACUUUUAUUUCUAUUGAUGAUCCCUUCCCAGCCUUAUGUCGCCAGCUUAAAUCAUGGUGCUUGUCUUUUGUGUGCGUGUGUGCAUCCCUUUGUGUAUGAGAUUUAAGUUUGCCGUGUUUCUUUAGUAGCUAUGAGUGAAGGGUUAUGUUUUGAGCGUGUAUUAUUUGAAUCGUGGCUAUUUCCUUUUGAGUGUAUAAUGUAAGAGGGAUGUACCCCCAAGCCUAAAGGUUUGCCACAUGCAACGAAAGCUGUGAUCAUAGUGAGAGAUUUGAGCUGGCUGUUAAAUUCUUUGCGAGCUGGGACAAAUUCUGGAUGAGCUACUGGUAUCAAUUAUUUCAUGUUUGUGUUUAUGUAUAUUAUUUUCUGUCUUAUUUUGUAAUAUAUUUUUGUACCUUAGGCAUCUGAAGGGUUUCGUUUUUGGGCCCAUGCUCUAAACAGUGUUUUUCUCCUUCAAAUUCGCUUCGAAGGGGUGACGUAGUUGCUACACAUGCAAAUUUCAGGACUUUGCUUUCAGGCAAUUUACGACUGAGAACACUUUUACAACAAAACAAAUAGUUACAAGUACACACACAGCCCAGUUUAUAGAAACCGUAUCUAUUCCUCGUGUAGUAAAACCAAGA